AUUGAACGCUGGCGGCAGGCUUAACACAUGCAAGUCGAACGAGUGGCGGACGGGUGAGUAAUGCUUGGGAAUCUAGCUUAUGGAGGGGGAUAACUACUGGAAACGGUAGCUAAUACCGCAUACCAUCAGAUGAACCCAUAUGGGAUUAGCUUGUAGGUGAUGUAACGGCUCACCUAGGCGCCGAUCCCUAGCUGGUCUGAGAGGAUGAUCAGCCACACUGUGAUUGAGCCACGGCCCAGCUUCCUACGGGAGGCGUCAGUGGGGAAUAUUGCACAAUGGCCGCAAGCCUGAUGCAGCAAUGCCGCGUGUAUGAAGAAGGCCUUCGGGUUGUAGAGUACUUUCAGUCGGGAGGCGUUACCGAUAGAUGAAGCACCGGCUAACUCCGUGCCAGCAGCCGCGGUAAUAC
rnacentral:rRNA from 1 species